rnacentral:rRNA from 1 species
AGAGUUUGAUCAUGGCUCAGAUUGAACGCUGGCGGCAGCCCUUACACAUGCAAGUCGAGCGAGAAAGUUUCUUCGGAAACGAGUAAAGCGGCGGACGGGUGAGUAACGCGUAGGAAUCUACCAUUCAGUGGGGGAUAGCUCGGGGAAACCCGAAUUAAUACCGCAUAUACCCUAAGGGGGAAAGAGGGCCUAUCCUUGGAAGCUCUUGCUGUUUGAUGAGCCUGCGUGAGAUUAGUUUGUUGGUGAGGUAAUGGCUCACCAAGGCUACGAUCUCUAGCUGGUCUGAGAGGACGAUCAGCCACACUGGGACUGAGACACGGCCCAGACUCCUACGGGAGGCAGCAGUGGGGAAUAUUGGACAAUGGGGGCAACCCUGAUCCAGGCAUGCCGCGUGUGUGAAGAAGGCCUUCGGGUUGUAAAGCACUUUAGGUAAGGAAGAAAAGUUAUUGGUUAAUACCCAAUAACCAUGACAUUACUUACAGAAUAAGGACCGGCUAACUCCGUGCCAGCAGCCGCGGUAAUACGGAGGGUCCAAGCGUUAAUCGGAAUUACUGGGCGUAAAGCGCGCGUAGGCGGUGUGCUAAGUUGGGUGUGAAAUCCCCGGGCUUAACCUGGGAACUGCAUUCAAAACUUGCAUACUGGAGUACGGAAGAGGCGAGUAGAAUUCAUGGUGUAGCGGUGAAAUGCGUAGAUAUCAUGAGGAAUACCAAUGGCGAAGGCAACUCUCUGGACCGUAACUGACGCUGAGGUGCGAAAGCGUGGGUAGCAAACAGGAUUAGAUACCCUGGUAGUCCACGCCGUAAACGAUGACAACUAGCCGUUGGACUUUCGAGUUCAGUGGCACAGCUAACGCAUUAAGUUGUCCGCCUGGGGAGUACGGCCGCAAGGCUAAAACUCAAAUGAAUUGACGGGGGCCCGCACAAGCGGUGGAGCAUGUGGUUUAAUUCGAUGCAACGCGAAAAACCUUA